UGGCGGACGGGUGAGUAACGCGUAAAGAACUUGCCCUUUAGACUGGGAUAACAGAGGGAAACUUCUGAUAAUACUGGAUAAGUUAGUAUAUCGCAUGAUAUACAAAUGAAAGCUACGGCACUAAAGGAGAGCUUUGCGUCCUAUUAGCUAGUUGGUAAGGUAAGAGCUUACCAAGGCGAUGAUAGGUAGCCGGCCUGAGAGGGUGGACGGCCACAAGGGGACUGAGAUACGGCCCUUACUCCUACGGGAGGCAGCAGGC
rnacentral:rRNA from 1 species